UUCCUGUGUGAUGGAGAGAGAGACUGCGUGGAUGGCUCAGAUGAACUGGGGUGCAAUCAGGUUACUGCUACAUCAGAGUCUCCUGUCUUCACUUUUGCAUCACCUUGCAUCGCUCCUUCAGUUCUCUGCCCUGGUUCAUCACUGUGUAUCUCUCAAAAUCAGCUCUGUGAUGGACAAAGAGACUGCCCUGAUGGAUUUGAUGAAAAUGAGUGUGGGGUCCAAUGUGAAAACCCAAAUGACUUCUUGUGCAGCAACCAGAAAAAGUGCAUCCCUGAAAUCCAAGUGUGCGAUGGUCGUGCC